CCUACGGGUGGCAGCAGUGGGGGAUAUUGCACAAUGGGGGAAACCCUGAUGCAGCGACGCCGCGUGGGUGAAGAAGUAUUUCGGUAUGUAAAGCCCUAUCAGCAGGGAAGAAAGAAGACGGUACCUGACUAAGAAGCCCCGGCUAACUACGUGCCAGCAGCCGCGGUAAUACGUAGGGGGCGAGCGUUAUCCGGAUUCACUGGGUGUAAAGGGAGCGUAGACGGCCGUGCAAGCCAGGAGUGAAAGCCCGGGGCCCAACCCCGGGACUGCUCUUGGAACUGUGCGGCUGGAGUGCGGGAGGGGCAGGCGGAAUGCCGGGUGUAGCGGUGAAAUGCGUAGAUAUCAGGAGGAACACCGGCGGCGAAGGCGGCCUGCUGGACCGCGACUGACGUUGAGGCUCGAAAGCGUGGGGAGCGAACAGGAUUAGAUACCCGGGUAGUC
rnacentral:rRNA from 1 species